GACCCAGUGUGGUGUAGUGGUUUGAACAUUGGACUUUGACUGGAAAACCAGGGUUUGAAUCCCUGCUGAGCCA